UUCCCAUAGCGCAAGCUAGUAAGAUCCCUGAAAGAUGAUCAGGUUGAUAGGUCCGGUGUGGAAGUGUAGCGAUACAUGGAGCUGACGGAUACUAAUCGAUCGAGGACUUAAUCAA
rnacentral:rRNA from 1 species